GGUUGAUCCUGCCAGUAGUCAUAUGCUUGUCUCAAAGAUUAAGCCAUGCAUGUCUAAGAAUAAGCCCUUGAACGGUGAAUCUGCGAAUGGCUCAUUAAAUCAGUUAUUGUUUAUUUGAUGGUACCUUACUACUUGGAUAACCGUAGUAAUUCUAGAGCUAAUACAUGCGUCAAGCCCUGACUUCGGAAAGGGUGCAUUUAUUAGAUUCAAACCAUCGGCUCGUCUGGGCAACUGGGCGCGGCCUUUGAUGGUGAGUCAUAAUAACUUAGCGAAUCGAAUGGCCUUGCGCCGU
rnacentral:rRNA from 1 species